ensembl:snoRNA LOC120094005 small nucleolar RNA SNORA17
AUUACUAAGGCAUUGCAGUGUGGCUCUUGUGUCACAGUUGAAUCAGAAGGAGGCAGAGAAGAGAGAGGCACACUCUGUGUUCUCACCUGUGAACAUCUGAAUAAUUAGUAGCCUGGCAUU